rnacentral:rRNA from 1 species
GACGAACGCUGGCGGCGUGCCUAAUACAUGCAAGUCGAGCGGAUGGAAGGAAGCUUGCUUCCUAAAGUCAGCGGCGGACGGGUGAGUAACACGUGGGCAACCUGCCUGUAAGACUGGGAUAACUUCGGGAAACCGGAGCUAAUACCGGAUACUUUCUUUUCUCGCAUGAGGGAAGAUGGAAAGAUGGUUCUGCUAUCACUUACAGAUGGACCCGCGGCGCAUUAGCUAGUUGGUGAGGUAACGGCUCACCAAGGCAACGAUGCGUAGCCGACCUGAGAGGGUGAUCGGCCACACUGGGACUGAGACACGGCCCAGACUCCUACGGGAGGCAGCAGUAGGGAAUCUUCCGCAAUGGACGAAAGUCUGACGGAGCAACGCCGCGUGAGCGAAGAAGGCCUUCGGGUCGUAAAGCUCUGUUGUUAGGGAAGAACAAGUACGAGAGUAACUGCUCGUACCUUGACGGUACCUAACCAGAAAGCCACGGCUAACUACGUGCCAGCCGCCGCGGUAAAAC